rnacentral:miRNA from 1 species
GCUGGGGCUGGGGCUGGGCUGGGCUGGGCUGGGCUGGGGCUGGGGCUG